GGAAGAAGAGAUGACGACAGCACGGCGGGUACCGAGUCGGAGGUAGAAGAUUGGGCCGUGUGUUUUGGCGAGUCGGUGGAAGAGACGGUGGACAGGCGGUUUGAUGAGGCGGUGGUGUCCGAUAAUGGGGAGAGAGUGAGGCGGAGAGGGAGGGAGGUUGAAACGCUGCGUUUUAGAGCUGAAGAUGAACUUGUAAGCAACGAGAAGGAGAGCUAAAGGGAGAAUCACGUAGUAAAACAUUUUUGUUGUCACGUUCUUUUUGGUGAUGUCGCUGAUCAAAAUGAUUAGGUGUUUCUAUAUAUAGUAGUAAAAGUGAUUUUUGGGGAUGUAAUAAGCGCCGAGAAUGAGAGUUAUAAGAAGAAUCAAAAUGAUUUGAUAAUCUACAUAUAGUAGAGACAAUGAGUUCUAGGGUCCCAGCAUUUUUCUAAUAUAAAUAAUAAAAUAUUGAUCCAACGGGUAUGAUUGCUUCCUUUGUCAGCAGAUCUGGCGUCAUGUUUGCAGCGCAGAGACGCGAUUAUUUUAUUUCAGAAAAAAAAAAUAGAGUGUUCAGCUAAUUCAAAUGUUUUUAAAAAUAAGAAGAUCACACAGAUUACUUGAUUAACCGUAUGCUUAUUUUUUUUGUUGGCAAAUGUUAAUUUUUGUUCGUCCGAAACAACAUGUUAAUGGUUUCUUCUUUGUUUACACUUCAUGGGAAAUUUAUUUUGUUAAACUGAAUUGGUUUUUAGAAUUGUUUUUCAUUUAGUAGUGUAGUUUUUCAGUCAAAUUAACACUGACUAAAAUAUAAUUAUGACAACACCAUAAUAACAUUAAAGUCACUAAUCAUGGCGCACGUUUAUUAUCAGCUAUAACAAAGAAAUAUUAAAAUGUGUCUUUUGUACUCUAUCUAUUUCAUAAAGAAUGUAAUUUUAAGAUUUUGUUUUUGUUUCAUAAUAGUGACAUAAAGCUUUUACAAUCGUGUUGAACGUAGCUUCACCAUUUAGUCGCAUUGCAUCGCAUGCAUAAUCUUCGUUACCCGCGAAAGCAGAAAACUAACAUAAGCUUUUAAAAACGGUCGUGACUUUAUUCAUAAUGGGCCGAAGCCUACACAAGGCCCUUAGAGCAAGGAAUAAUAACGAACUUUCCAACCAUUUCAUCUUCCUUUUUUUUUGGGUAGCACUCAUCUCCUCUUUUUUUUCUUCUCAGCUUAUUUUCGUCUUUUCUAAAAGAAAAACGAAUAGAUGGUAAUACUAUGUAUAUAGAAAAUCACUAGGGUCAUCUAACCCCACGGCACCAUCCAACACUUAGCUCCGUCAACACUCCAGAUUUUAAAUUAUUUUUGAAAUCUUUAAAUGAUAUUUUGAGUACUACCUAACCUCACGUAAAUCAUGUGUUCCUAAAAUCUUCCUAAAAUCGAAGCUGAGGUUCGAGAAACUCGAUUGAGCUCGGCCAAAAGUAUGUAUGAUUGUAUUACUGAAGUAACCGAUUACAUCAUUCAAUUUUAGAGAUACUUUUUAGUUAUUUUUUUUGUUAAAUAUCUUAUUACUGUUUAUAUAUAAACAAUUUUAUAGGCAUUUUUAUAAUAGUAAUAUUCAUUAAAAACUUAGCAAUAGUUAUGAAUUUUUUUAAUAAAUAUAGCUGAAUUUUUUUGAUUAAGUAAGUUGACUAAAUAAUUUUGUAAUAGAAAAAUGUGAAGAACCCAUAUUUCCAUAAUAAAAUAUGUUUUUUUUACCAUUUUUUGCUUAUAAGUUUAUGGAGUUGGAUUGUUUUUAAAAAGUUUUAAAGUGAUUUAUGUAUAUUCAUGUUAAAUCUGAUUUUGAUGAAAAGACAUGCUUUUUAAAUUUACGUAAAAUAUAUUUAAACGUCGAAUCAGCAUUUAAUUAUUUUUCUUAUCAUUAAUUAUAAACGUGUUAAAUAGUAAGCGCAGUGAAAAUCAAAGGAGUUAUAACGAGAUAAAUAGUUCUUUUUCAAAAAAUAGUUAUAACGUGCUAAAAUCAAAAUGCAAAUGUGGUAAACAAAUUAAUGGGUUUUAGAUUUUUAGUGCCAAAUUAGCUCUACAAAUUUUUGCAAAAGAUUAUUUGAAUACUAGAUUUCUGUUUUUUCCCUCGAUAUUAUAUUUAUUUGUACAGAGAAAAAGAUAUGGUAUUCUAAUUUUUUAAAUUGUAUUGGAAACUUGAUAGUUGAUACUUUAUACUAAUCGAGGAAUCGGUGUCGACAUAACAAUCGCAUUUCACAUGCUUGCUGCCACCGAGGUGUUGUUUUAUUAUAUAAUUUUAUUGAUACUAAGGUAGUAAGAUGUAGUAUUAAGAAUUUUUUUAUAAAGAUUUUUUUUUGUGUUAUAAGGCUUAAUAAUCGCCAAACAAGUUUGCUAUUUUUUAUUUACACGGUUAAGAACUAUAUAUGUUAAUACUUCUAUAGCUAAAAGGUUAGUCCUAGCUUCUUUAGCUAAGUCAUCAGCCAUUCCAUCACCAUUUCUUGAGAACUUCAAUAAAUUGUAGCUACAAUGAGCAGUAAGCGUCUUGAAGGUAAGUUGAUAGGCCAAAGUUUUUAGCUAGCGACCAAAAUAACUAUGACUAUUCAUCGUCAAAAAAAAAACUAUGACUUUUAUUGUCAAAAAAUUAAACUAUGACUUUUAUUGUCAAAAUAAUAUAUGGAAUACUACCAAAAUCGGCAAUACUAUUCUAUAUUGACUCAGAAUUAUUUCUUGUCUACUUGUUUGAUGGACAAAACACGGGCUAGCUGUUGAGAUUGUGAAUGUCUUUUACAAUGAUCAGUAUAACUAUCGGAUAUAACCAGUACAUUAUUUAGUUAAUUUACAAUAUAAAAAAUAGAUAGUACUAUUCUAAUAUUGACUCGGUAGGUGAAGAAGAUCAUUUUGAAAACUAUUAGCUGAUGUAUUAGCUGAUGCUUUUGCAAAACCUUGCAAAGAGCGAGCUAAAGGGGAAAAAAAAUUUAUAGGAAAUUAAGGUAAAUUACAAAAUAUGACAUAAUAUUAUUUCUUUCAAGUUUAUUUAAUUUUUUUUUUCAUUUAACUGAUAUGAAAGUGUGAUUUUUCGAUAACGUGUUAUUGUAACAAGUUAUUUUAUCAUGUUGAAGUCCUUAUUUUUUACUCACAUUGAGCACUAAAAAUUAAACCUAUUUUGCAUUUAAUUAGACAACACAUAUGUAAAAUAGCAAGUUACAUAAGAAAUCUCUACUAGCUCUAUUAUAUAUUAGACGAAAUCUCGAGUUAAUCUUAUUCUUGCUAAGAAAUUAUUUUUCUAAAUUUGAAGUGUGGAGUACCUAAUCAUAACCUAAAUUCUAAAAUAUUAAUCCAUAUCCACACCAAAUCAAAACUUGUGUACACCAAUGCUUAGAUUAAAAUAUAACAUAAAGACUGCGAUCCAUUAUAUUAUAUUUAUAUGACAAGAUAUUGCUAGCUAAACAAUUUUUUUUGUUGCCAUGCGAACGUUGAGUCAUGAAAUCAAUUAUUCAUCCAUUAGGAAAAGAGCCAGAAACCAUGCAAAUAGUUAAAUAGUGCAGAUUUGUGUAAUUCAUAUAUUUUGAAUACAUUAUUAGAUUUAGAUUAUAGGCCGACCCACGAGCCAUAUAUAAUUCUCAGAUGACACCUCAAAUUAUAAGGAAUUAAUAAAAUAUAAAGCUCAGAAAUAAAAAAAAUAUUCUAAACAGACAUGCAUCUAUAAUUAAGAAAAAAAAAUUCAUGUCUUUUAAGAAUAAUCUCUUCUUUGAUGUGGUAUUGAAUAUUUCUUCUUUAAGAUAAAGAGUUCGGGGUAUUGAAUAUUUUUUCUUUGAUAAAAAAAAACUAGGUUCUGAAUUUAUUCGCAUUACAGAGAUUGUCUCGGUUACAGAAAACGCACCAAAGCGUAACAAAUUCUUCAUUAGAAAACACGAAAGUAGAACUAAACCUUUGACUCGGUAAGAAGCUUAUUCAUGAGGGGUCGAAGCUGACACAUGGCUCGUAACGGCACCACCUUACGCAUUGCCAUCUCUGGACCUUCGGUCAUAUCAAUCUCUUUUCCGUUGACUCUUCCCCAGUCAAAGCAUUGAAUCAACGAUCCUAACGCCAACGUCACUAUCUUGAGCGCUAAUCCUGCGCCGGGACACAUUCUCCGUCCACUUCCAAACGUUAUGAGCGUACGAACAUCGUCUUUUUCUCCUUCUCCUCCACCAUUAAACCUCUCUGGGUUAAACCUCUCUGGUUCGGUCCAAAGCUCUGGAUCCCUGUGUAUACUCCAUGCGUUCACCAUCACCAUUGUUUCACGUGGCACGUCGUAUCCUCCGAUCUUGAUGUCCUCUACAGUUAAUCUUGGCACAAGAAGCGGUGCUGCUGGGUAUAGCCUGAGUGUCUCCGACACUACGUUCUGAAGGUAAGGCAGGUUUGGAAUGUCUGUUUCGUCGAUCAAACGGUCUUGCCCGAUUUUCUCAUCGAUCUCUGAUUUUAGUUUUUCCAAUAACUCUGGUUGAUUCAACAAACUCGCCAUCGCCCACUCUAUUGUCACGGCUGAUGUCUCUGAUGCCGCAAACAUGAUGCCCUGUUUCGCAAGUAAUUAGCUCUUUUGUUAAUUACCACAAAUUAGUGGACAUAAACCACUUUUAAAUCUAAUUAUAUAUGAGUGUGUUUAAACUUUAAUUACCAGCAUUAGGCCUUUGAUAGUGACUUCACUGUAAUACUCUGGGUCUUGUUGUUGCAAAGAGAGCAAGUGAUUAACCAUAGUGUUACCGUCUUUAUUUCCCCUACACUCAUCAAGCAAACGUUGCAAGAUCGCAUCCAUGGAUUCUCCAACAGCUUUCACUUUCUUCUCGAAACUCCUUCCAAAUAUCUUAAGGAGUGGCAAGUAUUCUCCUGGAUGCCUCGCGCCACUAGUACUUGUAAUAUAAGCAAUAAGUUUCUUGAAAGUGUCUGCUUCUGCCUUGUCGCUGGCAUCUUCUCCGUAGUAGAUCUUCCCUGUAACCAUCCUCACGAUGUUGUUAAACGUUAGAUCGUAGAAGAGCGACUCGAGCUCGACCUCACUGCUGAUGAGGGCGUCACGUGAGAGUCUCGUGAGCAUGCGGUGGAUUUCCUCUUUGCGGAUGUGGAGGAAGUUGGCGAGACGUUUUGAGGAGACGAUUUCUAGCGAGCAGAUUUUGCGUAGGUUACGCCAGUGGUCACCGUAAGGCGUGGUUGCGAUGGUUGUGUAGUUGUAAGCGAUGUAUUUAGAGGUUAGGAAACGAGGGCGGUUCGACACAACGAUGUCGUUUUGACCCGUGAAGCAUUCUCUUGCGAGUGCGGAAGAAGAGAUGACGACGGCACGGCGGGUACCGAGUCGGAGGUAGAAGAUUGGGCCGUGUGUUUUGGCGAGUCGGUGGAAGAGACGGUGGACAGGCGGUUUGAUGAGGCGGUGGUGUCCGAUAAUGGGGAGAGAGUGAGGCGGAGAGGGAGGGAGGUUGAAACGCUGCGUUUUAGAGCUGAAGAUGAACUUGUAAGCAAUGACAAGGAGAGCUAAAGGGAGAAUCACGUAGUAAAACAUCUUUGUAUUGUCACCUUCUUUUUGGUGAUGUCGCUGAUAAAAAAUAAAAAAAAGGUGUUCCUAUAU
rnacentral:lncRNA from 1 species